rnacentral:rRNA from 1 species
GAUUAACGCUAGCGGCAGGCAUAAUACAUGCAAGUUGAACGAGAUAAGUUUUAGCAAUAGAACUUUGAAAGUGGCGCACGGGUGCGUAACACGUAUGCAACCUACCUUUUACUGGGGAAUAGCCUCUCGAAAGAGAGAUUAAUACCCCAUAAUAUAUUGAUAAGGCAUCUUAUUAAUAUUAAAGUUACGGCGGUAAAAGAUGGGCAGGCGGCGGAUUAGGUAGUUGGUGGGGUAAUGGCUCACCAAGCCGACGAUCAGUAGGGGGUCUGAGAGGAUGUCCCCCCACACUGGUACUGAGACACGGACCAGACUCCUACGGGAGGCAGCAGUAGGGAAUAUUGGACAAUGGGCGCAAGCCUGAUCCAGCCAUGCCGCGUGCAGGAUGAAGGCCCUAUGGGUCGUAAACUGCUUUUGUACGGGAAGAAACCUCACUACGUGUAGUGAGUUGACGGUACCGUGAGAAUGAGGAUCGGCUAACUUCGUGCCAGCCGCCGCCGUAA